AUGAACGCUAGCUACAGGCCUAACACAUGCAAGUCGAGGGGCAGCAUGAUUGAAGCUUGCUUCAAUUGAUGGCGACCGGCGCACGGGUGAGUAACACGUAUCCAACCUUCCGCUGACUCGGGGAUAGCCUUUCGAAAGAAAGAUUAAUACCCGAUAACAAAGGAUUUCCGCAUGGAUAUUCUUUUAAAGGAUUCCGGUCAGCGAUGGGGAUGCGUUCCAUUAGAUAGUUGGCGGGGUAACGGCCCACCAAGUCGACGAUGGAUAGGGGUUCUGAGAGGAAGGUCCCCCACAUUGGAACUGAGACACGGUCCAAACUCCUACGGGAGGCAGCAGUGAGGAAUAUUGGUCAAUGGGCGAGAGCCUGAACCAGCCAAGUAGCGUGAAGGAAGACUGCCCUAUGGGUUGUAAACUUCUUUUAUACGGGAAUAAAGUCAUCCACGUGUGGAUGUUUGUAUGUACCGUAUGAAUAAGGAUCGGCUAACUCCGUGCCAGCAGCCGCGGUAAUACGGAGGAUCCGAGCGUUAUCCGGAUUUAUUGGGUUUAAAGGGAGCGUAGGCGGGCUUUUAAGUCAGUUGUGAAAGUUUGCGGCUCAACCGUAAAAUUGCAGUUGAUACUGGAAGCCUUGAGUACAGUAGAGGCAGGCGGAAUUCGUGGUGUAGCGGUGAAAUGCUUAGAUAUCACGAAGAACUCCGAUUGCGAAGGCAGCUUGCUGGACUGUAACUGACGCUGAUGCUCGAAAGUGUGGGUAUCAAACAGGAUUAGAUACCCUGGUAGUCCACGCCGUAAACGAUGACUGCUAGGUGUCGGGUGGCAAAGCCAUUCGGUGCCGCAGCUAACGCAAUAAGCAGUCCACCUGGGGAGUACGUUCGCAAGAAUGAAACUCAAAGGAAUUGACGGGGGCCCGCACAAGCGGAGGAACAUGUGGUUUAAUUCGAUGAUACGCGAGGAACCUUACCCGGGCUUGAACUGCAGCGGAAUGAUGUGGAAACAUGUCAGCGAGUAAUCGCCGCUGUGGAGGUGCUGCAUGGUUGUCGUCAGCUCGUGCCGUGAGGUGUCGGCUUAAGUGCCAUAACGAGCGCAACCCUUAUAUCCAGUUACCAUCAGGUUAUGCUGGGGACUCUGGAUAGACUGCCGUCGUAAGAUGUGAGGAAGGAGGUGAUGACGUCAAAUCAGCACGGCCCUUACGUCCGGGGCUACACACGUGUUACAAUGGGGGGUACAGCAGGCCGCUACCUGGCGACAGGAUGCCAAUCUCCAAAACCCCUCUCAGUUCGGACUGGAGUCUGCAACCCGACUCCACGAAGCUGGAUUCGCUAGUAAUCGCGCAUCAGCCACGGCGCGGUGAAUACGUUCCCGGGCCUUGUACACACCGCCCGUCAAGCCAUGAAAGCCGGGGGUACCUGAAGUGCGUAACCGCAAGGAGCGCCCUAGGGUAAAACCGGUGAUUGGGGCU
rnacentral:rRNA from 1 species